CCUACGGGCGGCAGCAGUGGGGAAUAUUGGACAAUGGGGGCAACCCUGAUCCAGCCAUGCCGCGUGUGUGAAGAAGGCCCUCGGGUUGUAAAGCACUUUCAGUGAGGAAGAACGCCUGGUGGUUAAUACCCAUCAGGAAAGACAUCACUCACAGAAGAAGCACCGGCUAACUCCGUGCCAGCAGCCGCGGUAAUACGGAGGGUGCGAGCGUUAAUCGGAAUUACUGGGCGUAAAGCGCGCGUAGGUGGCUUGAUAAGCCGGUUGUGAAAGCCCCGGGCUCAACCUGGGGACGGCAUCCGGAACUGUCAAGCUAGAGUGCAGGAGAGGAAGGUAGAAUUCCCGGUGUAGCGGUGAAAUGCGUAGAGAUCGGGAGGAAUACCAGUGGCGAAGGCGGCCUUCUGGACUGACACUGACACUGAGGUGCGAAAGCGUGGGUAGCAAACAGGAUUAGAUACCCCAGUAGUC
rnacentral:rRNA from 1 species